AUUGAACGCUGGCGGCAGGCCUAACACAUGCAAGUCGAGCGGAGCGGCGGACGGGUAAGUAAUGCCUAGGAAUCUGCCUGGUAGUGGGGUAUAACGUCCGGGAACGGGCGCUAAUACCGCAUAAUAUAAGAUGAGCUUAGGUCGGAUUAGAUAGUUGGGGGGGUAAUGGCCUACCAAGGCGACGAUCCGUAACUGGGCUGAGAGGAUGAUCCGUCACACUGGAACUUGGACACGGUCCAGACUCCUACGGGAGGCAGCAGUGGGGAAUAUUGGACAAUGGGCGAAAGCCUGAUCCAGCAAUGCCGCGUGUGUGAAGAAGGUCUUCGGAUUGUAAAGCACGUUAAGUUGGGAGGCGUUACCAACAGAGUAAGCAACGGCUAACUACGUGCCAGCAGCCGCGGUAAUAC
rnacentral:rRNA from 1 species